rnacentral:tRNA from 1 species
UACAAUUUGAUGUAUGAUGCAUGAAGAAUUUUGAUUUCUUUUGUCUUAGUUUAAUUCUGAGGUUUGUAA